UACGUAGGGGGCAGGCGUUAAUCGGAAUUACUGGGCGUAAAGCGUGCGCAGGCGGUUUGCUAAGACAGGUGUGAAAUCCCCGGGCUUAACCUGGGAACUGCGCUUGUAACUGGCAAGCUUGAGUGUGGCAGAGGGGGGUGGAAUUCCACGUGUAGCAGUGAAAUGCGUAGAGAUGUGGAGGAAUACCGAUGGCGAAGGCAGCCUCCUGGGCCAACACUGACGCUCAUGCACGAAAGCGUGGGAGCAAACAGG
rnacentral:rRNA from 1 species